rnacentral:rRNA from 1 species
UGGGAUUAGAUACCCCACUAUGCUUAGCCGUAAACAUAGAUAGAACAUUACCUUUCUAUCCGCCUGGGUACUACGAGCAUUAGCUUGAAACCCAAAGGACUUGGCGGUGCUUUAGACCCAUCUAGAGGAGCCUGUUCUAGAACCGAUAAUCCCCGUUAAACCUCUCCCCUCCUUGCAAUUUCAGCCUAUAUACCGCCGUCGCAAGCCUACCCCGUGAGGGGACAGCAGUGAGCUCAAUCGGCAUAGCCCAGAACGUCAGGUCGAGGUGUAGCCUAUGGAGGGGUAUGAAAUGGGCUACAUUCCCUCAUGCAGGGAAUACGGAUAACGUGCUGAAAUGCACGUUUGAAGGUGGAUUUAGUAGUAAGCAGUAAAUCAGA